AACGUAGGAGGCAAGCGUUAUCCGGAUUUACUGGGCGUAAAGGGCAAGUAGGGGGCUGUGUAAGUGAGGUUUGAAACCUGUUGGCUUAACUGGCAGCAUGGACUUCAGACUGCACGGCUUGAGGUGGGGAGAGGGAUGCGGAAUUCCUGGUGUAGUGGUGGAAUGCGUAGAGAUCAGGAGGAACACCCGUGGCGAAAGCGGCAUCCUGGCCCUGACCUGACCCUGAGAUGCGAAAGCGUGGGGAGCAAACAGG
rnacentral:rRNA from 1 species